GGUUUGGAAGGCCGCCAGACAGAGGGAGAAGAAAAGAGAGAUGAAGAAAAAAGAAAUAUAGGAGAAGUAAGUAACAGGGUCAACUAAAAUAUUCCACACACAUUUCAAGGACUGAUAUACGCUUCAGUUCUCACCGUAUUACAAAUAACCGAUCGCCAAUGUAGACUGGAAGAAGUUAGGAGCAGCAGAAACUUCCUUACUGUCAGCUCACAUUAGGGGGCCGGCCGUUAUGACUAACACUUUGAUCGAUGACGAUGUGGUCAAUAAAACGGCGACACACCCGUCAUGUGGAGAUGAGAGACAGGGCCGAGCCACUUUAAUCAGGGGCCAUGUCAGAACCAUUCAUCAAUCUGACCCAAAUAGGGAGACAAGCAGAUGGAGGCAGACAGAAAAAGGACAGAGAGACACUGACAUAGGGACAGAGAAAAUGAGGGCGUGAGAGAGAGGGGGGUGAUUGAGGGUGUUUGUAAGUGAUAAUUAGAUCAGAAUGAGAGGCGAUGAUUAUCCACUAACUACAGGGCAUGUGUGAACGUGUGAGUCUCUUUAUUCGUCUGUAAAUGUAUAGCAUAGAAUGUAAUUUUGAAUACAUUUUUUUUUAUUUGAUCAAGUUUCUUUCUAAAACAACAAAAACAAAUUUCCUAUUUUAUAGCUCUGGACAGGUUUUCAGUCAGCGUUAAUAAAAUAUAUAUUCAGGAUUUUAAAACUUUUUUUCCACGUUGGAGACGUUUAAAUUUAUUGUCGACUUUCCCCAAUUUACUCAAAGUCGAAACAGGACUCGGAAUUUAUCGUCAUUUGUCAUUCAUCAUGAUAAAUGUCUUAUCACAAUGAGUGUGAUGUUCACAUUGUACUGUUUUCUGUUUGUGCCAAUCCUAGUCACGCCCCUCAUUUCCGUUAUUCCUCGCACUUGUGUUGCUUCCUGAUUGUCUCCCUUCUUAAGCUUCUCUCAGUCGCAACCACGCUGCCAGAUUAUCGAACGCUUUCAGCAAGUAGUUUUCCAGCACUUUUACCUCGCCCUCAUAGCCACGACCACGCUUUGUUCCUCGGACCUGCCCCUUUUGCCUUGCCCUUGUCGGACUGUUACUAUCGCCCUUCUGGAUCUCGACCCACGCCUGUUUCAGUUACACCGCUCUCGCCCACUCCCACGGAUUCUACCCUUAGCCCCGAUCGUGCAUGACCUCGGCCCGUCUGACUAAGGAUUCGGAUUUGGUUCUUCUGCUGCCUAACUAGUUUGUACGCUGCCCUGCAUCAGCGCUUCCCUCCCCAGGCUCUUCCUGCCGAGCUCUGCGUCAGCGCAGCAUCUGCGCUCCUCCUCGUUCCUCAGCCGAUCACUUCAGUUACUGAUCGCCAAGCCAGUGCUGCAGCGGACGAUCCUGCGUGCCCGGUUUAAGCUGCCUUUUAAUAAAUAUCAGAGUUUUCUGCUCACUCCUGUGUCGUGGCUAAUUUUCUGGGUCCCUCUAGUGAACCAUUACAAUGAAACUUUGUUUCAUCAUUGUCAUGACAACUUCCGAUUGAUGAUGUUUAAAAAUCCCUGAAACUCUUCAUAUUGCCAGAGUUGUUAUUUUUAUCCUCUGUUCCAUGAAAGUUUUCUGUCUGUAUUUGGCAGAGUUGUAACAUAUCCAUCUAAAUUCUUUAUAUCUAUAAACUUAUGAUCUAGGAAUAAGCUGUUGUUAAGAAUGGCUUCAGAAAAGUCAGUCCUAUAUUAGACAUUAAAGGACGUUCAGUCCCACUUUGUAUAAGGCUUAGUUGAUGUAUAUUUCAGUGUGAUUCAGAAUUUGGACUCGGUGUAGAGCCCCCCACCCCCCCAAAACCUCAAAUCUGUUCACCCAAUUCGUACUUUUAAAAAAUCCACCUUAACUAAAACAGAAACGUAGCUCAAAUAAACAAUUCAAAGCUCAAAAUUGCUAUAAAAUGUAUGACAGUGAUGAGUUUUGAACACAAAUGUGCAGAAAAGACAGUAAGGCCCUGUGAGGCACAGCAGUAAGGGUGGGUAUUUAUUGUGUCAUUUAUCAUUUAUUCUUAUAAAUCAAAACCUUAUAAAUUUUUUUGUAUCUGUUACAUGCAGUGGUUUCUGCAUGUAGGAUUUCCCCCCAAACUCAGGUUGCUGCUGAGCUCCGGCGGGUUAAGCAGGCCCAGCUGGUUUCACUCUGCCUCCUGAUGAGCAGAAUAUAAAUCUAGACUUUCGAAACUGACUUUCAGGGCCUCUUGGCCCUUUGGGCAGCAUGUGUGCUGCAGCUUUGUGGUGCUGUGAUGGAGGAUUUGUCUGCUAGAAACCCUGGUUUUUGUUGUUAUUCUCUCCCCUUUCUUUUCUUUUAGGUUCUCAUUUUCACCUUUGAGACUUCUUCCGAUCCCACUUAAAGAAUAAACCUUUAACUUUACCCUCCUGGUUUUGUCUCUUCAUUUUUUCCCUGGUUUAUCUAUUGUUACAG